rnacentral:rRNA from 1 species
GUCGUAACAAGGUUUCCGUAGGUGAACCUGCGGAAGGAUCAUUAUUGAAUAAACAUGGUUGGGUUGUAGCUGGCUCUUCGGAGCAUGUGCACACCUGCCGUCUUUAUCUAUCCACCUGUGCACACAUUGUAGUCUUGGGGGAUUGAUUAGCGACAAUUCGUUGUUCGCGUCGUCGUCCUCUGAGGUCUAUGUUAUCAUAAACCACGUAGUCUGUCGAAGAAUGAAGUAUUUGGCCUCAGUGCCUAUAAAACAAAAUACAACUUUCAGCAACGGAUCUCUUGGCUCUCGCAUCGAUGAAGAACGCAGCGAAAUGCGAUAAGUAAUGUGAAUUGCAGAAUUCAGUGAAUCAUCGAAUCUUUGAACGCACCUUGCGCUCCUUGGUAUUCCGAGGAGCAUGCCUGUUUGAGUGUCAUUAAAUUCUCAACCCUUCCAGCUUUUGUGGCUGGUUGUGGCUUGGAUGUGGGGGUUUUUGCAGGUCUCUCUAGAGAUCAGCUCCCCUAAAAUGCAUUAGCGGAACCGUUUGCGAUCCGUCACCGGUGUGAUAAUUAUCUACGCCAUCGACUGUGAACGCUCUCUGUUUUGUUCUGCUUCGAACUGUCUUGCAAAAGACAACUUUAUUGAACUUUUGACCUCAAAUCAGGUAGGACUACCCGCUGAACUUAG